rnacentral:rRNA from 1 species
AGAGUUUGAUCAUGGCUCAGAACGAACGCUGGCGGCGCGCCUAAUACGUGCAAGUCGAGCGAGAAGACGUAGCAAUACGUUUGUAAAGCGGCGAACGGGUGAGGAAUACAUGGGUAACCUACCCUCGAGUGGGGAAUAACUAGCCGAAAGGUUAGCUAAUACCGCGUACGCUCCUUGGACUUCGGUUCAGGGAGGAAAGCGAUACCGUGGGUAUCGCGCUCUUGGAUGGGCUCAUGUCCUAUCAGCUUGUUGGUGAGGUAACGGCUCACCAAGGCUUCGACGGGUAGCUGGUCUGAGAGGACGAUCAGCCACACUGGCACUGCGACACGGGCCAGACUCCUACGGGAGGCAGCAGUAAGGAAUAUUGCGCAAUGGGCGAAAGCCUGACGCAGCGACGCCGCGUGGGGGAUGAAGGUCUUCGGAUUGUAAACCCCUUUCGGGAGGGAAGAUGGAAUGGGGUAACCCAUUCGGACGGUACCUCCAGAAGCA